AGGUAUAAUACAGAAUAUUGUUAUACACUAGGUAUCAGUGUUCUAGGUAUAAUACAGAAUAUUGUUAUACAUUAGGUAUCAGUGUUCUAGGUAUAAUACAGAAUAUUGUUAUACACUAGGUAUCGUUGUCAGUGUUCUAGGUAUAAUACAGAAUAUUGUUAUACACUAGGUAUCAGUGUUCUAGGUAUAAUACAGAAUAUUGUUAUACACUAGGUAUCAGUGUUCUAGGUAUAAUACAGAAUAUUGUUAUACACUAGGUAUCAGUGUUCUAGGUAUAAUACAGAAUAUUGUUAUACACUACGUAUCAGUGUUCUAGGUAUAAUACAGAAUAUUGUUACACACUAGGUAUCAGUGUUCUAGGUAUAAUACAGAAUAUUGUUAUACACUAGGUAUCAGUGUUCUAGGUAUAAUACAGAAUAUUGUUAUACAUUAGGUAUCAGUGUUCUAGGUAUAAUACAGAAUAUUGUUAUACACUAGGUAUCAGUGUUCUAGGUAUAAUACAGAAUAUUGUUAUACAAUAGGUAUCAGUGUUCUAGGUAUAAUACAGAAUAUUGUUAUACACUAGGUAUCGUUGUCAGUGUUCUAGGUAUAAUACAGAAUAUUGUUAUACACUAGGUAUCAGUGUUCUAGGUAUAAUACAGAAUAUUGUUAUACACUAGGUAUCAGUGUUCUAGGUAUAAUACAGAAUAUUGUUAUACACUAGGUAUCAGUGUUCUAGGUAUAAUACAGAAUAUUGUUAUACACUAGGUAUCAGUGUUCUAGGUAUAAUACAGAAUAUUGUUAUACAUUAGGUAUCGUUGUCAGUGUUCUAGGUAUAAUACAGAAUAUUGUUAUACACUAGGUAUCAGUGUUCUAGGUAUAAUACAGAAUAUUGUUAUACAUUAGGUGUCAGUGUUCUAGGUAUAAUACAGAAUAUUGUUAUACAUUAGGUAUCGUUGUCAGUGUUCUAGGUAUAAUACAGAAUAUUGUUACACACUAGGUAUCAGUGUUCUAGGUAUAAUACAGAAUAUUGUUAUACAUUAGGUAUCAGUGUUCUAGGUAUAAUACAGAAUAUUGUUAUACACUAGGUAUCAGUGUUCUAGGUAUAAUACAGAAUAUUGUUAUACAUUAGGUAUCAGUGUUCUAGGUAUAAUACAGAAUAUUGUUAUACACUAGGUAUCGUUGUCAGUGUUCUAGGUAUAAUACAGAAUAUUGUUAUACACUAGGUAUCAGUGUUCUAGGUAUAAUACAGAAUAUUGUUAUACACUAGGUAUCAGUGUUCUAGGUAUAAUACAGAAUAUUGUUAUACAUUAGGUAUCGUUGUCAG